CAUAUGUUGUCCAGUUGAUGCUGAUUACAUAAAUUUUGGUUCUAUAACUUGGGAGCAACUCUUGUUUCACCAUUCUUUCGGCCAUCGGUUCUGUAAGUUGGUGCAAGCACAUUCAAAAAAAUAGUCCCUCAACAUACAUUUUUGUUGUGCUGAAUUCGCACAGAGUGGAUUUGCUUGCUGAUUCAGUUCUUGGUAAAUUUGGUAUCAGACAUGCUUGUAAACAUUGCUCUUAUCUAUACCAUGGCAAUUAAAAGAGAAAACACCUUGCACAUUAUUCGUCAGUACAGCUGGGAUUUGUUAGAAUCCAUAUUAUAUCAUCAUUGCUUGCAUUUUGUUCGGACAUUUUAACAUUACGACACCAUGUAUUUUUGUAAAUGAGUAGAAAAUAAAUAUUGUAUUUAAUUCUUGCAGGGGAUAUAUCUGAUGAGGAUUUCACAUUUCUCUACUAUAAUCUGAAUAUUGCUGCAGCCUGUAAAAGCUCUUUGUGUUGGUGAAAGCAAAAAAGGAUUCUUUAGGACAUUUCGUGUGCUACAGGUGAUGCACAUUGCAGAAAAGAGUUUGAGAUGGCAUGCCACGUUGCUACCAAUGCUUCAUAACAGGGCAUUGCGGGACUGUUGGAAUGAUCAGUGGAUGAUUAAGCUCUAUUCUUUAGAAACGGCGGGCUGUUUGUUUCAAAGCAUUUGAGAUGCUUAAGCUCUAUUCAGAUUUUAAACAAACAGACUACAAGAGCGGAUACACUUUUGGAGUCACAUAUUGGUUAAUUAUUAUGCUCGCCUGCGGGAGGAUCUGCUCUGCAGAUGAUCAUUACCAGUUUGUCAAGCUUGAGCUUGUCAUCGCGGACGAUCUCCUUCGGGCUCUGUUUUGUUGUCGAUGCAGAACAAACUGAUGUUGGAGUGAAACAAAAUUUUAAUCGCUUAUCUAGACUGAAGGCCCGCUGUACAAAGUUCAAUGGUGAAAUCUGGGUAUGUCAAAAUGCCAAGUUCUACGAGGAAAGAGAGUUGUUUCUCAGAAUGUGCCCAUGUUCCCCCUUAUCAUUUCAGAUGUAAGAGUUCUUGUCUUGGUAAUAGGUUGAAGGAGCAAGUGAUAAUCGCAUGUAUUUUCUUCAGUCCUAUUUUUAAUGUGCCUGAUGAAUUUAUAUAGUGGGCUGGUGGAUCCGCAAGAUGCAGAUCUGUGAUUAACUAAAUUUGUUUUCAACCUGUUAAGUUGCAAGUGGACUACUGAAUUUUGCAUGCAAGUCAUGAGAAGGCUCUGCUCAUGAUUUCUCGGCUGAAAUUUGUACUAUCCUUCAUGAAUUGUAUUUUUAAACCCUGGUGUUAAAUGAUUUGUUCCGCGCUGAAUACAAAAUAGUAUGUAGUUUGGAUCUUGUGCAUUUUCUUGAUGAAAUUUUAUCUUUUCAGAUUGUUAAGUUAAUAAUGUUUGCUGCACAAUAUUUAGAUUUUUAUUUUACUAUGCUACAGGAAGUCCAACAUGUUUUGUUUUCUCUUUCAUGAGUUGAUGCACAGAAGCUGCUUGAUGAAAUAGUUAAAGGAGAGUUUCGGCUUUGACUGCAACUAUUAAGUUUUAGAUAACAUCAUAACUUUUGGUGAUUUUCUUUUUAUAUGUUACAUUCUAGCGUAGCACCUUUACAUGUAGUUCUUGAUCACAUAUUUUAUUCCAUUACAUUGGUCAUAGAUUUGAUUUGUAUCAUGAUAUUAUUGUGGAAGACGGUGUGCAUUGAGAUAUGCAAGUAGGCAGCUUCUGCUCUGUAUACUAUCACUUUUGGUGCAGAGAUAUGAGUGACAAGCUGGCGAUAUUGUGUUGGUACUGGGUGACCGUUUUUUAUCUUUAUGUCAGCCUUGUCAAAGCUGAUCUUGGCAUCACCACAAGUAAUAUUUGGUAAGAGUUUGAUGAUCCAAAGUUUCUAUAUAACCUAACAUACUGGGUUUUGUUCCCUGUAUAAUUGUCAUCAUAUGAGUGAAGUGUUCAGGUGAAGUGCCUUGGAAAUUUCUGAGCAAUUUCUCCUUCCUCCCCUCAUGCAUGGCUGCUUCAUUACAUUGACCAAAUUAUUUCUUUCUAUCGGUGUUGUGCCUUGAGUUUUUGCAGACAACUUUAGAUAGUCUCAUGUGGUUAGUUCGGCCACAUGGUUAUAUCGAUGGAGGAGAUCCAAACACAAUUGUCGGUUCAAGAAUUGAGGGAAAACUGAUGGUUCUAUUGUGCACUCCUUGUUCAUUUUGUUAGUUUGUAAGUAUAA